AUUGAACGCUGGCGGCAGGCCUAACACAUGCAAGUCGAACGAGUGGCGGACGGGUGAGUAAUGUCUGGGAAACUGCCCGAUGGAGGGGGAUAACUACUGGAAACGGUAGCUAAUACCGCAUACCAUCGGAUGUGCCCACAUGGGAUUAGCUUGUAGGUGAGGUAACGGCUCACCUAGGCGACGAUCCCUAGAUGGUCUGAGAUGAUGACCAGCCAAACUGGAACUGAGACACGGUCCAGACUCCUAAGGGAGGCAGCAGUGGGGAAUAUUGCACAAUGGGCGCAAGCCUGAUGCAGCCAGGCCGCGGGUAUGAAGAAGGCCUUCGGGUUGUAAAGUACUUUCAGCGGGGAGGCGGUACCCGCAGAAGAAGCACCGGCUAACUCCGUGCCAGCAGCCGCGGUAAUUC
rnacentral:rRNA from 1 species